GCUUCUUAAACAAUCAUAUUCUGUUGAAAACAGCAGCAGAGUGCACUAUUGCUCUGUAUUACAGUAAAGAAGGAAAAAUUAGCAUUGUUAAUUAAACUAUUCUGCAUUAUUCAAAAAUUAUCAGUUCCAAUAAAUAUAAAAACCAAAACUUCCUCUUUGAGUAUAGUCAACACUUUUGGAUUUAUUGAGGUAUUUGUUUUAUCACAUUUUCUUUGAACAUACUUGGCAACAACUGAAAUAAACUGGUUAAGGUGCUCACUCCUCAAAUGACUUGGCAUUCAGAGUCCAGUUUAUCUCAGUGAUUUUUUUUCCCACAAAGUUGUUUAUUUUCCCACAGAAUAUUGUUUUGUGGAGUUGAGAGAAUUGGUGAUACAAAACUACUUAAAAAUGUAUUCUAUUUCUAGCUGAGGGUUUUUUUCUAAACCAUUUAUACACGUUCUUCAAGAUUUAAUGUUGUGGUUUCCUGGUAUUUUUGUAUUGUCUUCAGCAAACUACUAAUACCUUUUAAUAUCCUUUUUACAAAUGAUGAUUAAAUAAAUUGUCUGAAAGCUGAGAGUUUGCAGUUGACUUAUUAGGUCAUCCGAAAUGAUAACUAAAUUAUCACAAAAGCAAGGAAAACUGUUAAUGCAACUCCAGUAGCAACAAUAAUUGCCCUAAUUGUGUUGUAGCACCUGCCCCCAUCAGAAGUCUUCAUGUGCUUUAAAAUAAAGCUUUGCAUUAGAAAUAUAUAAUAAAUUUCAAUCAAAAUUUAAAAUUAAGUGUGUGUGAUAGAUACUCUAUCUCUCUAUGUGUGUGCGUGCGUAUGUAUGUAUGUAUGUAUGUAUGUAUGUAUGUAUGUAUUAAAGAUGGUUCUAUUAGGUAGCUCUGACUAGCCUGGAACUUAUGGUGUAGACAGACUAAUCUUGAUCUCAUGGAGAUGCAAUUGCCUUUGCCUCCUGACUAUAAAUUAAAAGCAUGUGGUACAACACCUGAUGGCUCAAGAUUUUAUAUUUUAAUGUUUUGGGAAUUUUUUUUUCCUCUAAUGGUGCCUAGCUAGCCUAAUAAAAAUACUGCUUACUAAAAAUUCUUAGAGUACAUUUUAGCAAAUCAUAGUGUCUAUUUUGGAAAAUGACAAUAUGUAGGUAAGAUGCAUGACUAGCUGUUUUUAAGGGUUCAAAGCAACAUUUUGGAACAUUUAUUUGAAGUUAUGUAUCUGAUUUUAGAACAACAAAAUAACAAUUUUAGAAAAUUAACUUAUCUCACAUGGAACUGACUCCUGAAAGUGCACUUUCUUUCAUCAGGAAAUAUAUAUUCUGAGGGGUUCUGGAUGAAAAUCAGUCAGGUUUAGUAAAAGCAACACACACACACACACACACACACACACACACAAACACAUAAAUUCAACAUCAUGAUAACAUCAAACUGUUUUCUUCAGGAGGAAAAGGAUAGCAUUUUUCUGUUAUCCAGAUUAAAAUUUUCCUUAUGCACAGCAGUGAAUGCAUAGCUGUUUAUUAAGUAAAACUUUAUACUUUGUGUAUUUCAGCUGCUUUAUAAUACAUUUUGUUUUUGUUUUUUAAAUAGUGUAAGGCUGGAGAUGUAACUCAUUUGAAGAUUGCUUACCUCUCAUGAACUAGGGCCUUGAGUUCUACCUGUAGCAAAAGGAGAAAGUAAAAAGUGACAUUGACCGUCAAACUGAAUUUUCUUGUAGAAAGUGGUAAAAAUAGUUAAACAUGAUAUAAGCAUAGUUUAAAUAGAGUAGAUAAUGUUGAAUUAUUAGGCGAGAAGCAGGAAUUCUGGGAGUAAAUAUAGUAUGUGUAACCAAAACAGUAGUGACUAAAAUUUUAUUAUUUUAUGAAACUUUCUUGAUGUGAAAGAAACCUUCAAAUAAGGCACAUUGAAGAAAACUUCUGGUAAAUUCAAACCUUUAAUUUCAAGGACUACCAACAAAGAAAAAUUAAGUUUCCAAGAAAAGUGAAAAAGAUCGAACUAAAAAUAAAUCUGAGUAUCAUUUGUUUUUUUGAUAUGCUGGGAAAAUUUCAGUAAAUUCCAAGAUGAUCCUAGAGUUCUGUGUAUAGCAGAACUUUGUCAACUGUGAAGAUAAAGCUAUACUUCUUCAAAGGGGCUAUGAGCUACAAUACCAGAUACACAUAAAUAAGUAUAUUAUUUGAAAAUAUUAAGUAAAAUGAAAUGAAUCAGAGUAAAGAGCUCUUUACCAAAAAAAGGAGUUACUUAAUACUUAACAGUAUUGGAAAAAGCAAAAAUCUCAAGCGCGUGCACUUUUAAUUUAAGGUUUAGUCAAUGUAAAAGAAAGUACUUUUAAUGAAAUGGUAAGCAUGGAAGAAAAAUGACGACGAGGAAUGAGAUUACAGAUGCUUUAGUGAAGCUUGUGCUACAGUGAAUGGAGUGGGUUGGAGGGAAGGAAGACUAUGCUGUGUAGUGUGAAAUGCAAAGAAUUCAUGUGUACAGACUUCCAGAAGGUACUUGUUGAAAAUCCGAGGAGACUUGUGGUAAAGAAAAAUGAAUGACUUGUCCAUCCAGCCUCUCCAUGUCUGUGUGAGAGAACUAAACGUGUUUGAGGGCCAAGGCAAGGCCUGGUGGCCCGCAGUUGUAGUUGUGGCACUUGCGGGGCUUAGGCAGAAAAAUGGGUAGUUAGCUCAAGGCUUUCUGAGCUGUAUGGAUUCAAACAAGGCAGAGAGGCACGAGUAGCAAGAACAGCACUGAGUUGUAAAAGAAGAUGCCAUUAGUGCCACCUGUUUUGAGAAAAUCCCUUGAUGAUGCAAAUAAGGGUGAAUGAGAAGAACAGAGAAAACCUCUCUUUGUGGUUACUAGAGUCCAGGGGUCUACUCUUAAGGUGUACACAUGCCCCCAGGCACGUUUGUACUCUCAAGUAUUAAAAUAUUCCAUACCCACAGAUAAACUAAACCUGAGGUGGGGUGUUGGGUCUAACCUGGAGGUAGAUGUUCACCAGGCAUGCACUAGGCUUUGAACUAACAUCCUCAAAAUAAAAAGAAUUUUAAAAUGGGAAAAUACAUAAAAAGGAAUGAAAAUUAGAAAUAAAAAUAAACCAAAUCAACAAUAAUAACAGUCACUGAAACAAAACUUCAUUUUUGUUUUUAAUAGACUCAAAGAGUCAACUGAGGUGCUCAUCAGAUUAACGGAUUUUAAAAGUAUACUGGAGCCUCUGCUAUCAUCCUUUGUACAGUGUUACCAGGAAUAUCUGCAGAGUAAGGUUGUUCAGAUGACGGAUCUGGAGCUUCUGUCAUGUGUUAAAGAUUGUUCAUGAGUGGACUGAGUUGGAACUUAAACCUGUAACAAGCCUUUUGACAAUAUAUAUAUAUAUAUUAUGGGAGAAAUCUAGUUAGAUAGUUCUAGAACAUUCUUAAUAGUUUUGGCUAACAUGGGUCACUAGAAAACAAAUAAUCUAAAAUGUAAAAUUAACUAAGGGGAAAAUUUAUACCAGAAAGCUAACAAUACAAAAUAGAAUGUUAACUAGGC
rnacentral:lncRNA from 1 species